rnacentral:rRNA from 1 species
CUACGUGCCAGCAGCCGCGGUAAUACGUAGGGCGCGAGCGUUGUCCGGAAUUAUUGGGCGUAAAGAGCUUGUAGGCGGUUUGUCGCGUCUGCUGUGAAAGGCCGGGGCUUAACCCCGUGUAUUGCAGUGGGUACGGGCAGACUAGAGUGCAGUAGGGGAGACUGGAACUCCUGGUGUAGCGGUGGAAUGCGCAGAUAUCAGGAAGAACACCGAUGGCGAAGGCAGCCCCCUGGGAUAAUACUGACGUUCAUGCUCGAAAGCGUGGGUAGCAAACAGGAUUAGAUACCCUGGUAGUCCACGCCCUAAACGAUGUCGAUUAGCUGUUGGGCAGCUUGACUGCUUAGUAGCGUAGCUAACGCGUGAAAUUGACCGCCUGGGGAGUACGGUCGCAAGAUUAAAACUCAAAGGAAUUGACGGGGACCCGCACAAGCGGUGGAUGAUGUGGAUUAAUUCGAUGCAACGCGAAGAACCUUACCUGGUCUUGACAU